UACGAAGGGGGCGAGCGUUGUUCGGAUUUACUGGGCGUAAAGGGCGCGCAGGCGGUCUUGAAAGUCAGGCGUGAAAGCCCCGGGCUUAACCUGGGAAUUGCGCUUGAUACUCUGAGACUGGAGUACGGGAGAGGAGAGUGGAAUUCCCGGUGUAGCAGUGAAAUGCGUAGAUAUCGGGAGGAACACCAGUGGCGAAGGCGGCCUUCUGGACCAGUACUGACGCUCAUGCACGAAAGCGUGGGGAGCAAACAGG
rnacentral:rRNA from 1 species